UCCCUCCCAACCCUACAUACUUCUUCAUAUGCCCAUAUGGAGUCGGCUGGUAUUAUGGAAUGUUAAGAAGUAUGUAUCUUUGGGCUGGGAC
ensembl:miRNA